rnacentral:rRNA from 1 species
GACGAACGCUGGCGGCGUGCCUAAUACAUGCAAGUUGAGCGAUGAAGAUUGGUGCUUGCACCAAUUUGAAGAGCAGCGAACGGGUGAGUAACGCGUGGGGAAUCUGCUUUGAGCGGGGGACAACAUUUGGAAACGAAUGCUAAUACCGCAUAACAACUUUAAACAUAAGUUUUAAGUUUGAAAGAUGCAAUUGCAUCACUCAAAGAUGAUCCCGCGUUGUAUUAGCUAGUUGGUGAGGUAAAGGCUCACCAAGGCGAUGAUACAUAGCCGACCUGAGAGGGUGAUCGGCCACAUUGGGACUGAGACACGGCCCAAACUCCUACGGGAGGCAGCAGUAGGGAAUCUUCGGCAAUGGACGAAAGUCUGACCGAGCAACGCCGCGUGAGUGAAGAAGGUUUUCGGAUCGUAAAACUCUGUUGGUAGAGAAGAACGUUGGUGAGAGUGGAAAGCUCAUCAAGUGACGGUAACUACCCAGAAAGGGACGGCUAACUACGUG